rfam:Dipodomys ordii contig_38006, whole genome shotgun sequence.
UGGCUCAGUGGUAGAGCGCUUGCCUUGCAUGCAAGAGGCCCUGGGUUCAAUUCCUCAG